rnacentral:rRNA from 1 species
AUUGAACGCUGGCGGAAUGCUUUACACAUGCAAGUCGAACGGCAGCACGGACUUCGGUCUGGUGGCGAGUGGCGAACGGGUGAGUAAUGUAUCGGAACGUGCCCAGUCGUGGGGGAUAACGUAGUGAAAAUUACGCUAAUACCGCAUACGAUCUAUGGAUGAAAGCGGGGGAUCGCAAGACCUCGCGCGAUUGGAGCGGCCGAUAUCAGAUUAGGUAGUUGGUGGGGUAAAGGCCCACCAAGCCAACGAUCUGUAGCUGGUCUGAGAGGACGACCAGUCACACUGGAACUGAGGCACGGUCCAGACUCCUACGGGAGGCAGCAGUGGGGAAUUUUGGACAAUGGGCGAAAGCCUGAUCCAGCCAUUCCGCGUGCAGGAUGAAGGCCCUCGGGUUGUAAACUGCUUUUGUACAGAACGAAAAGGUUUCUACUAAUACUAGGAGCUCAUGACGGUACUGUAAGAAUAAGCACCGGCUAACUACGUGCCAGCAGCCGCUGUAA